UCCUCCUUGGCAGCACCAAGCUCUUGCUGCAUAGCCAUCCGAUCUUCAAUCAGCCGACGAUUAUCACCAAGGAGCCCACGGAUUUCAGCAUGCUGUAUUUCAAGUUCAUCCUCCAACAAGGCAGGGUGAGGAGGUGGAGGUGGAUGUGGCAAAGGAGGGCCACGAAUAAAAGGUCUCUCACGGGGGAACCCACGAAGGUCAUUAUAGGACUCACGAUGAAUUCGAUUCCUCCCAGCCAUUUUAAAUUGCUCUGUGAAGAAGGGAUAGAGACUCAGCUAGCUUCUCAGGAGCUUGCCUUUUCGG
rnacentral:misc_RNA from 1 species